rnacentral:lncRNA from 1 species
CAAAAAGGUUAAAUUUAACUUCCAUUCAAAGCAAGCUUGAAUUUGAAGUUAGGGCUCUCACUGUUUUCAAGGUGGGCUGUCAGCUUCUCAGGCAUAUGUCCCCAAUGGCUUGCCUCUCUGCUGAACUGGGAUAAGGUUAAAAUGGGGUCAGAUGGGCUAGGUCCCCUUCAAUUCUGGGGUCCACCAACAGUUUCUCCUCUGCUUUAGAGACUAGAUGGAAAAUAUGCUGCUUGUUCUGCUUUGUCCUAUUUUUGUGUUUUGGGUAAAAGUUAUAUAGCUCAGUGUUUCCUAACCCCAGGUGGGUCAUUAUUAGAAUCAGCUGGGAGAGUUAAUACAAAUUCAAGUUCAUAAUCCUCAUUUGUAGCAAUUCUGAUUCUGUGGGCUUAGAGGGGGCCUGGAAUCUGUUACUCAAAUGUGAAGUCAAUUUGGGGACCCGUUGAUAUCAUCAAUCUUCCUUAAGGGUUUGUGCCUGAUUAUUUCAUAUAUAUUAUUACUUCUAAUCUUCACAACUGACUUGUGAGGAAAGCGUUACCAUUCCCUGGUUUGCAGAUGAAGAAACCAAGGCACAGAGAGGUUGUGUAACUAACACAAGGUCCCUCGCUCUAAGUGCUGGCGCCAGGUGUCAGGGUCCCCCUCUACCCCAAACCCCCUUCCCACAUUUUCCAAUUCACUCUGUGUCAGGUCUUUCCAAGGAGGUGCUUCCUUUGCCUGUACCUCAAUUCUACCGAAAACUUCCUGAAUUUAAUGUUUUCAUCUGAUAUAUUUCUUCACAACAGGCUAACAGCAUCCUGUUCUGGCCACUGGCUGUUAAUUUGAGACACGUUGCUUAAUGAAAAUACAAGGAAAGAAGCAGAAUUUUGGAGGAGGUGUAGAGCUCAAUUUGUUGCUGCUCAAAGUGUGGUCUGAGGAUCCCUGGCAUCCAGCACAGGCCUUGCAGGGCACUUCAUCUCCAGCGUCUUCCCCACUCCCACAGCCACGCUAUGGAGACCGCAUGACGUGCCCAUGCCUGAAACCCUGCAACUAUCCUGGCAGAGGCCUGGUAUACGGAUGGCUCUGCAAGGGGAAACCCCUGCAGUGGACAGCAGUGGCCAUCCAGCUUUUGACCAACAGCAUGUGGUUGGACUCUGGCUCUAAAUACAGUAGUCAGUGGGCCAAAUUGUGGGCUGCCUGGAUGGUGUUGACUUGUGAGCCCAAUCAAAUAUGUCUGUGUGUGGACAGUUGGGCAGCCUAUAAGGGGCUCACCCUGUGGAUGGUACAAUGAACAUGACAAAAAUGGACUAUUAAUGAUCGCCUGUUGUAGGGGGCAGAACUCUGGGAUAACAUCUGGCAGUGGGUCUGAGGAAUGAUGAUAACAGUGUACCAUGUGUCUGCUCAUUGGGUGACAAUGCCACCAGGGAACAAACAAGCAGACAAGUUAGCUCGGAUUCGUCUCCUGGAAAAAGUGCCAGCUGAAAGAACGGUAGAGUGGCUACACAACAAGACCGGACACAAAGGAAAAAGGACCCUAUGGCUACUGCCAAGGCCUGAGGCCUCCCCCUACUUUAUGCUGAUGUGGGGAAAGUCUGUCAGGUGUGCCCUUCCUGUUUCUUACAGAGACCCUGGGCCAUUCUCUGGGACACAGGCCAAAUUGCCAAAAACAUCCAGCCUGCUCAACACUGGCAGGUGGACUACACUGGGCCUUUGCCUCUUUCUAAUGGCUGUCAGUAUGCCCCUACUUGUGUGAACAUGUCCACAGGAAUGCUCCAGGCAUAUCCCAGCAAGAGGGCCACACAAAGACCACCAUAAGGGACCUGGGACACCUCUGUGCUGCAUAUGGUGUUCCCAUGGACAGUGACGAUGGUAUAUGUUUUACUGGCCACCAGGUACGGAUGUAGACUGAUCAGAUGGACAUACAUUGGCAUUUUCACUUGCCAUACAACCCCACAGCUGUGGGGCUGAUGGAACAAAUCAACAGCUUGCUGAAACAACAACUAAGAACAGAAAGCAAGACCCUAGCCCACUGGACAAGGCGCCUGGCAACUGCAAUAUAUCAACUAAAUAAACAUGAGAUGCACUCAACCA